rnacentral:rRNA from 1 species
UACGUAGGGUGCGAGCGUUAAUCGGAAUUACUGGGCGUAAAGCGUGCGCAGGCGGUUAUUUAAGUCAGGUGUGAAAGCCCUGGGCUUAACCUAGGAAUUGCGCUUGAGACUGGAUAGCUUGGAGUGCGGCAGAGGGAGGUGGAAUUCCACGUGUAGCAGUGAAAUGCGUAGAGAUGUGGAGGAACACCGAUGGCGAAGGCGGGUCUCUGGGCAGUAACUGACGCUGAGGAGCGAAAGCGUGGGGAGCGAACAGG